rnacentral:lncRNA from 1 species
CCCACCUGGCCUGCCCCAUGCAGCCAGACUGACUUUAGAGAGGGAAAUGGAAGGAUGUGUCUGGCUAUUCUCAAGCUGAGAGUGGACAGAGCAGCGGGCAGUUCCAGGGGGCGGCCCUCCGAGGUCUGGUCGCAGUGGCAGAGCCAGCACCACGGGCAGCAGAGCGGUGAGCAGCACUCCCAUCAGCAGCCUGGCCAGACUGAAGUGUUCCAGGACAUGCUGCCUAUGCCAGGAGACCCAACCCAGGGGACUGGCAACUAUAACAUCGAGGACUUUGCCGACCUAGGCAUGUUCCCACCCUUUUCUGAGUAGCUGUGGGCAGAGCAAGGCUCCCUGUGCAGGGCCACCACCGCGCUGUGACAUCGACACCAGCUUGCCCUGCUGCAGGACCCCACCACAGUGCCCUCACCCCCUGCGCACCCCCAGGCAUGGCGCUACUCGCUCUCACCCACAGCUCUGGCUUCUCUGUUGCUACUGACCAGGGCCCUGCUGGACGUCUGGGGCUUGGUUGUAUUUAUUGCAUUUUAUCUGUGUGUGCUCAGGAGGUGAGCUCUCUGGCCCUCACACUCAGCUAUGAAUAGUCCCUUGUAAGCGUGCAUGUACACCAGGAGGAGUUCACUUGAAACUCAGAGCAGCAGCGGGCCUGCCUGGGACUCUGGAAUGGCUUCUGCUUGCUUUUCACACCUGCUAGCUGGUGGCCUGGGGUGGGAUAAGAGGCAGGGAGAGUCAGGGCCUUUGUCACACCCUGGAGCCGAGGAGUGUGGGGACUUGGGGAUGCCCACUGCCCUGCUGCUGUGCCUGUGGGCCCAUUGUGACGUGGAUGUUUGUGCUUUGUGUGGUGAGACACAUGUGUGUGUUUUGUGUGUUGUGCCUCGUGUCUGUUGUGUGUGGCCAGAGUGGGUCGUAGAAUCCAGACCAUAAGGAGGGUAAGAACGAGAAUACGCACCCCCUGCCCCUCCCAGUGCUCAGCAGUGCCCUCACCAAGAAUGCUGGCUCAGGGCGGCAGGGAGGGGGACCGACAGGCUGGCCCUUCCACAGUGUCACCAGGAGCCGGGGCUGGGGACCUACUCACUGUGAGGGGUCAGUUAUUUGGUCUGUGCCUCUGCUUCAGAACCAAGCUCCUCCAUGCAAGAGAAGCAGCCUUUCCUCCUCUCAGAGCCCCAGGCAUCAUUUACAUCUCUCACUGACAGCAGGGACAGAAUGCCUGGCCUCCUGGGCCAUGUCCUGGAGUGGACAGGAGCAGCUGUUGUGUGGAGAGGGCACCUGAUGCUCUGUCCCCCAGAGGGACACAGAGAGUGCAGGUCUGUGAGGCAGUGGACUGGGCUCCUCCCACAUAGUCUCUGGGGCCCUGAGUCCUCGGUUUACUCAAAACAGGAGUACUGGCUGACUUCCAGAAGCCUCCGCCUGCUGCCCACUUAGCCCAAGGUCCCUGGCUUACUGUGUUUGGCUUUUAUAGUCCCCUGCAUCCUCCUGCACCUUUCCCAGGUGAGGGCUGUCUCCGUCUCCCUUGUUGGCCUCUUUUCCCACCAGUCACCUUGUUUUCCCACUGCCACCCAUCAGCCCUCUGAUGCCCACGUGGGACAGAGGAGCCCACCCUUGGGAGAGCUGUGGUCCCUCCAAGAGUCCCUGCAGACACUGCACAGCACCGUGUCCUUGCCAAUAGGUCCCAGAGGUCAGGAAAAUGAAUGAAUGGAGGAAGCCCAAGUACAGGGAGGAGUAGGGCCGUUGCUCUGGCCCCCUGGGAGCGCUGCCUGGUGCCCAGGCCUUUUGACCUGUCAAAAGCCAGCCUUCCUCAGCAGGAUGCCCUCCCCUGGGACCUGGCCUUCUGUGGUCCCCAUUCUGAGACCAGCUGAGGGCCAGCCCUGAAGUCUGUAGAAGCAGCUUUUAGUCCUCAUGUAGACAGUGGUAAUCGGGUCCUGGGUGUAGAUGCAUGUGUUUGCUCUGUCCUCAGAGGAGCUCUUGCUGCUGGGGAAAUGGGAGUAACCACGGGCAGCCCCAGCUUGGGCUCCUGGUGCCAACCAGCACCCUCUCAGUGCCUAGCGCUGGGCUUGCUCUGGGCAACAAGCAUAAUCUUUCCCCCCAAAAAAGGCAUAAAAAUAGCUUUAGGAGCAAAGAAGUAUUUCUUGGUGAAAGGGAAAUAGACUUGGUGUGGCCUUUAGCUUGUGAGUUUGGAAGGUUCACUUCUGCCCUCUGCAUGUCAGAGGACAGUUGGGGGCACCAGAGAGCAGCCGACUGUGCUGCUGCCCCUGGUGGUCUGUGCUGGACCCUGAGGGAUCUGUAACCAGCAGAGAAAACCUUGCUCCCACCCACCUCCCAUCUGCUUCUCUGACCUCAGCAGUGAAGGAUUCCUGGUCCUGGGAGGCACGGCAUAAGGAGAGUAGUGAUCACCAACCACCAAGGCCUGACCUCCUCCCUCCCUGUCUUGUCCUGGGAGUUGGGCGUGACCAGAGUGGAGUCUGAUGGGUGGGUAUGAGCCCCAUGUCUUUUCUGUCCCCACUCUGCAUUUCAUUGUGAUUCUCAGAAGCCGUCUUGUAGACAGUAAGAAAGUAGAUGAGGAGUGACAGGGAGAAGCCUAGGACUGGGGCGGAGCUCACCAGGGCAUAAGAACACACCCCUGAACUGGGCUUAGUGACCUGGUUUGGAAAAGAAUCCCCCAUACCCAUCUGGCUGGCCCAGGAGGCCAUGGUGCUGGUGGGCCCUGAUGUCUGCUUGGCCUGCAGCCCGUGCCCAGCCAGGCCCCCUCCCUGCCAGAGACGGGUCAUUGCCAGAUGAGAAAGGGGAGGCAUGGGGCUUCCUGUAGCAGUGAGUUGGUUCCUGUCUCCUGGAUGUUCCCCAGCUUCUCCUCAGGCUGAGGGUCCCACCGUCACUGCCAUCAGCGACAACAUACUGAGGCGCCACCAGGACUGGCCAGUAAUGGUGAUAGUGGCUGGGAAGGUUCUAGAACACGCUGCCUGCAUGUCCCUCUGCUCUGGCUUUGUUGUUAGCUCUGUUCGGGGAGCGAGAGGCCAUCACAGGAGCCACGUUCUCCUUCACUUCCCAACAUAUCAGGUUCAGCCCUCUGGUUACUUCAUUACUAGAGAACAGUGCCGUGGGGAGGGGAGGUGCCAGUCCCUAACAGCUUACACUGGGGUCUGCUGCAUCAGUACAGCGAUUAUGUCCCCAGGUUAGCCACACCUGCCAGUAUCAGUUCUCCAAACAGCUUGGCACAGGAGGAGGCAGGCCCCAGGCAUUGAGGAAGGCUCGCUGUCCCACACACAAGGGCCAGCCAUGAGCUGUGUGCAAACCAUGCCUGCUCACCCAUGAGGGCCAUCUGCUCAUAACAGUUAUCACCUGUCACUUAAACAGGAACCAGCCAGGUGGCCAGUGAUAGAACAUAUGCGCUCUUUGUAUUACUGGAAAGGGGGCUGGUCAGGAUGUUGCUGGUCCGAACCUCUGCUAGGAGUCCAGCUUCCCCAUCCCUACUGGAUCUCAUGCACCAGGAACCAUAAGCACCCUCAUGUCUGCCUGCACCGCUGCCUGGGGUCCAGGGGAACUGGAAGAGGUGCCACACAGGGCAUGCGCACAUUUUCACACCGCACACCUGGGUCUCAUGGCCAGAGCUGCUUUAUGGUCCAGAAACCAGCCAAAGCCCAGGGGCUACCAACUAGCAAAACCCAGGCUUGACAGGCUGGGCAGGAGCAGAGCAGCUUGCUUCAUCUAACAAUCAGUUUUCUUAAAAGAUCUCACAAGCAGGUUUCAGUGAACAACAAGCACUUAAUCAUCUCUCUCUUAACCUUUCUUCUUAUGGAUGUGAACUGUGCUGUGGAUAAGUCAUUGUUUGUAAUUCUUGAAUGUUCUCCAUGACUAACAGUUAUUAAGUCGGUGUGUAUAUGUAUAACUAAUGUAACUGCCUCUGAAAUUUUCAGUAAAAUAAAAAUGACUUUGCUCUGAACCCUAAACCCCCAGGCCGGCUUUAUAAUGGACCUGCUCAUGGAACCUGCCCCUCGGGUUUGGGGACAUCUGGCAUUGCACCCUUCCUUAGGGUCACACUGUGUCAGAGUCACUCAUAGGUAUUAACAGGCCACCUUUGGGACUCUAGUGACCUAGGAUAGAAGAGAAAACACAAUUCCUGAGCUCCUGUGUAAGGCAAGGCUCUUUAGGAAUGUCUUUACAAAUACUUCUUUUUUAAUCAUUAUAGAUCUGUAAUCUGUGGUUACUACUCCUGGGUUAUAUAGGAAACUGGUUAAGUGACUUAUCUGAGAAUGUACCAGAAGGAAGUGGUAGAACCAAGCUCUGAUCUCAGGUCUCACUCAAAAGCCCUUUCCUUUCCAAACACUCAUUACUUUUUUAAAAAAUUCACAGAAUUAAAUUACUAAUAAAUACUAACAAAUUCUAUUUUUCUCUGUUGAAAGAGGACUACUUGAAGACCCUUGGCUUUACUGACUGAUCACAGACAUAAAAUGCACAUAUUUAAAGUGUACAUAGGAGAAAUUGUGUGGCUGUGAAUUGGAUGCAGACAGCUUAGAUGGUACACCAAACAUAUGACCUAUCAAAAAAAGUAAAUUGACAAACUGAACAUAUAAUAUAAAACAUUUACUUCUCAAAAGAUACUUUUAAGAGAAUGAAAACAUAAGCCACUGGCUGGGGAAGAAACAAUUACAAAUCAUAUAUCUAAAGAACACUUAAAAUUUAAUACAACAAACAAUUUAGCACAAAAUAGGCAAAAAAUAUUUGAAAUACACGUUCGAAUUAUGCCACAGAAGAUGUACAGAGGCCAGCUAGCUACAAUGAUACACACCUAUAGUCUCAGCUACUCAGGAGGCUGAGGCAGGAGGAUCACCUGAGCCCAAGACUUUGAGGCUACCCUGAGCGACAUAGCAGGAGUCUAACUCAAAAACAAAACUACAGAGGGCAAAUAAGCACAUGAAAAUAAUGGUCAGUAUUAUUAGUCAUCAGGGAAAUGCCAAGGAAAACUCCAUGAGAUAUUCUAACAUUUGACUAAAAUUUAGCAACUGUCCAGGAUAUGGGAGAAAUAGAACUCUCAUAUGGGCAAAGCAGUACAGCCUCGCCGCUGUACAAACCAUUCAGUGGUUUCUUGUGAUGUUAGGCAUCACUCACCCUGCAACCUGGCUUUCCACAGCUUGUCCCUUCGCAGGAGAGAUGGAACGAAUGUUGACACAAGGACCCUCAGCAAUAUUCAUUGCAGCCUCAGGUGCAAUCACCAGGGAUUAACGUAACCUAAGUGUCCAUAGAUGGGGGACAGAUAUGCAGAUCCUGGCACACCAAAGAACAGUACUCAGCCACAACAGCGAAUAAACUGCUAACAGAAGCAACAACACAAAAGACACAAAAGCUUUAGUGCAGAGCAGAAGCCAGGCACACAGAGCAUGUAAAUGCAUUCUGGAAAGUCCAGCAAAGCCAGGGACCAGCCUGACCACAGGACAGAGGGAAGGACGGGGACAAAGGCUGGGGUGAUGGGAAGGUCCCAUAUUGAUAGGAGCAAGGUAUAUACAGAAGACAAAGGUCACCAAACCAUUCACUCAAGAAGAGCACAUUAAACUACAUUGUACUCAAGUCUUAUCUAAUAAAGUCAGGGUUCAAAUAAUCUCAGCAGAAUUUUUUGUAGAAUGCAUCUAGAUGAUUCCAAAUUUUCUGUGGAAUAAAAAGGAAACACAACAGGCAAUGUAUUUUACUGAAUAAGAUAUAAAGAUGAAGAGAAGAAAAGAGGAAAAAGAACAAGUGUUCCUCCUACCAGAGAGGGAGAAGUUUAAUAAUUGAAAUUGUGGGCUUGGCAUGGAGAUUAGAAACAAGAUCAAUAGAACACAACAAAGUCCCUAGAUAUCCAUACAUAUCAGAUAGGAGUCUUAUUGGGAAGACUUAAUGUUCAUAAUUACGGGGAUCAGAGAGGCUUUCAAUAAACAGUGUUGGGGCCGUGUACACAGGAAAAGAAAUAAUGGUAUGCUUGUCUUAAAAUAUGAAGCACGUGGGGGCUGGGGAUUUAGCUCAGUGGUUGCGCUGCCUACCUUGCAAGCACAAGGACCCAAGUUCAACUCCCCGUACCAAAAAAAAAAAAAAAAUGAAUGAAGCAUGUUUGAAAACUAGACAGUGCUUAUGUUUUUAAUUUAUUAGAGUAAAAAACACAUUGCCAUUAACCCCCCUAAAAAUACUGCCCCUUGGUUCAAACACACUGUCGUUUCUUGCCACUUUCUGAAGCAGUUCUGGAAGUCCUCUUUCAUGUGUGUAUCCUGGCUGUCUCCAUGUCCAAAUCAAUUCAAAACAUUUACCUUUCAUGUUAAUUUUGACUUUGCGGAAGAGCCAAAAGAAUAAGGUGGAUAAGGACAUGCCAUGUUUUUUACAAGCCUGCCUUUCCAUUGGAUGGCACUUGGCAACAGCAUUCACUGCGUGUUUUACCACACCUCAAAAAAACAUGAAUUUCCAGAACUGCUCUGCAAAAGAUAAGAAUAAUGUGAUUAGUGUGUUUGAGUGAAGGGAGUAUUUUGAGGGGGAUUAGUGGCCAUGUGCCCUUUACUGUAAUAAAGUUUUUUAUUUAAACAUUCACCAUAUAUUUCAAUCACUCUUGUGUAGAAAAAAAUAAAUUCUACACAGGUGAAAAUAUCUCAUUGUUAAAAGUAAUGUAUGUAGGACAUUUAAGACAAAAUCUUGGAAAACAUAUUUAUAAAAUCAAGUCAGCAAGGAUGUCUUAAAGCAGGCACAAAGAUGACUAUGAAGUAAAAUAUUGAUAAGCUCAAACUCAAUAAAAAGACACAAAAAUGCAAAUGAAACUCAAUUAACUGGUAGAAAACACUUGCAAUUUAUAUAUCUAACAGAAUAAAUAGUAUUCGGAAUAUAUGAAGAAUUCUCAGAAAUUUUUUUUUUUUACUUUGAGACAGGGUCUCACUGUGUGAUACAGGCUGGGUGUGAGCUCGCCCUGUGGCCCAGGCUGGCCUUGAACUCACAGUGAUCCUCCUGCCUCACCCACCCAAGCCCUGGGAUUAUAGGCAUGUGGCACCGUGCCCAGACCUCACUAAUCAACUCUUUAAAAUAUGCCGCAAUAGAUAGUCAAUUCAUAAAAACUCAAAUAAUGUUAAUUCUGUUAGAAUAACUUAACUUCAUUGAUAAUUAAGGGAGAUGAAAAAUUAAAACAAGAUAACUAUGGCAUUCAGAUUGACUAAGUCUGCAAACAUAGUUGCUAGUGAGGUUAUGGAGGAAUGGGCUCUCCUCCUAGGUGAGGGGAAAUCAGUUGAUUGCUGGGAGUGCACCAGGUGGUAUCAGGAAUGACAAAGCUGCGCAAAUCCUGGGACAGUGAUUGUAACCCCAUGAAACUUCCCACAGGUAUCCAGAGAGACUGAGUUAAUCUUGCCUAUUAACUUGAUAGAUUUGAUGACAUCUGAAUUAGUAAAGUACAAUUCUGGGUGCAUCUGGUAAUGAGUGCAUGACCUUUGGGACUAUAUCUGGUCCCUGGAUCUUUCUUCUCUGGCAUUUGCCCUGUUCUCUCCUUCCUGGCACCAUGAGGUAAGCAGCUAUGCUCUACCACACCCUUCCGCUAUGAUGUUCCUGCCUUGGAGCCAGCCAACCAUGGACUGAUACCUCUGAAACCGUGAGCCAAAUUAAAUCUCUUCUCCCUUAAAUUGGAAUUGUCAAGUGUUUUGUUUCAGCACCAGGAAAGCUAACUAAUACAGAGACAUAUACAAGAAUAUUCAUUGCUCUGUGAGCAAUAGUGAAAAGCAGGAAAGCUAUAUUUAGUAGAGAAAUUAACAAACUGAUUUAGUCAUACAGAGGAACCUAUUAGAGAACUUAAAUGACCUUGAUGCAGAAUUCUAAAAAUAUAACAUUGAAUUGAAAAUGCUGUGCAUAUUUUUAUAACUCAAAGUAUUAAUAUAUUUUGUUUGUGAAUAAAUAGAUAAGUAAUUUUUAAAAGUCCUAGAUGGAUGCACCCAACUCUGAAGGAUGGUUGUCUUUAGAAGAAAGAGGCAGGCAACUGACAUGGCUGAAUUCUUCAAAACAGAUUCAGAGAGGAAGGAGGAGGAGGAGAGAGGAGAAUUGUCAGAAAGUAAAGGGAAUAGAACAAGCAUCUGAAGCAAUUACC